rnacentral:rRNA from 1 species
UACAGAGGUCUCAAGCGUUGUUCGGAUUCAUUGGGCGUAAAGGGUGCGUAGGUGGCGCGGUAAGUCGGGUGUGAAAUCUCGGAGCUUAACUCCGAAAUUGCAUUCGAUACUGCGUGCUCGAGGACUGGAGAGGAGUAGAGUAAUUCGAUGGUAGCAGUGAAAUGCGUAGAGAUCAUGAGGAAGACCAGUGGCGAAGGCGGGUCUCUGGACAGUUCCUGACACUGAGGCACGAAGGCCAGGGGAGCAAACGGG